GGAUUAAAUAAAAUUAUAUUUUGAAUUAUAAAGGUAGAAAGGGUUUUAGUAGUUUAAUUAAAAAUAAUUAUUUAAAUUAUAUUGUAAGAGUAAUGUAAAUGAAUGAUUAAAAAUAUUUUUAAGUAAUUUUAAUUUAGUGUACCUUUUGUAUCAGGGCUUAUUAAAAAGAUAUUUUAUUAUUUAAAAUUUUUCGAAGAAAUAAGAGUUAAUUAAUUAUAAAAUUUAAUGUUGAAAGAUUAUUUUAAAUAGUUAUUUAGAGAAGAUAUUUUAGUCAAUUUUUUGGAUAUCUAAUUUUUUUUGAUAUAAAUUUAAUUUAUAUUUAAGUUAAUUAUAAUUGAAUUAUUUAUAAUUUAUUAUAAUAAAUUUAAAUAAAAAAUUUAUGGGAUAAUCUAUAAAUUAUUUUAAAAAUUAUGGGAUUUAAUGAUUUUAGAAAUAUUUUUAAAAUUGAAAAUUUUCUUAAAAAAUUUAAUAAUUUAUUUUAAGUGGAUUUGAAAAAAAUUUUAUAGUAAUUUUUUAAUUUUAUAAAGAAAGUAUUUUAGUAAAUAAUUAAAAUUAAUAGAAAUAAUGAUGAGAUUAGUAUUUUUUAUUAUGUAUUAAAUAUAUAAAUAAUUUAGGGUUAUAUAUUUUUUUAAUAAUUAGGCAAAUUAAAUUUAUUAUAGUGUUAAUAAUAAUAAUAAAAUUAAGUUCACCUGUUUAAUAAAAACAUGGUCUUAAGGGAUAAUUUAAGAUUUGUUCUGCUCAAUGAUUAAUUAAUUAAAUAGCUGCAGUAUUUUGACUGUACUAAGGUAGCAUAAUCAUUUGUCUUUUUAAUGGGGACUAGAAUGAAGGAAUGGAUGAAAUUUAAUCUGUUUUAGGUAUAUUAUAAGAAUUUAUAUUUUGAGUUAAAAUUCUUAAAUUAUAUUAUGGGACGAGAAGACCCUAUAGAAUUUUAUAUAAUUUUUAAAUUUAUUAUUAAUCUAUUAUUUAAUAUUUAAAAAUUUAUAUUUUAUUGGGAGGAUAUGAAAAUUUAAUUAACUUUUUAAUUAAUAAUUGAUUGUUUAUUAUAAUUAUUUUUAAAUUAUAAAUUAGUCUAAUAAAUAAUUAUAAUUUAAUCUAAGAAUCAUUAAUUAAUGAUAGGAUGAAUAAAUAAAAUUUUUAUUUAAAAAUUGAAUUAAUUACCUUAGGGAUAACAGCGUAAUAUUUUUUUUCAGUUCUUAUGGGAAGAAGUGAUUGCGACCUCGAUGUUGAAUUAAAAUAAAAAUUAAAUGAAGAAGUUUAAUUAUUUAGUCUGUUCGACUAUUUAAAUUUUACAUGAUUUGAGUUUAGAUCGGUGUGAGCCAGAUCGGUUUUUAUCUAUAAUAAGUUAAAAUAAUUUUGUACGAAAGGACUUAUUAUUUAAAAUUAUUUUAAAAUUUAAUUGAUUAAUAUUAAAUUUAUAGUAUUUUAUAUAAGAAUUA
rnacentral:rRNA from 1 species